UACGUAGGGACCAAGCGUUGUUCGGAUUUACUGGGCGUAAAGGGCGCGUAGGCGGCCACCGCAAGUCGAUUGUGAAAUCUCCGGGCUUAACCCGGAAAGGUCAACCGAUACUGCGGGGCUAGAGUGCAGAAGGGGGCAACUGGAAUUCCGGGUGUAGCGGUGAAAUGCGUAGAUAUCCGGAGGAACACCGGUGGCGAAGGCGGCUUCCUGGACCGACACUGACGCUGAGGCGCGAAAGCUAGGGGAGCAAACGGGG
rnacentral:rRNA from 1 species